rnacentral:rRNA from 1 species
GACGAACGCUGGCGGCGUGCUUAACACAUGCAAGUCGAACGAAGUGGCGAACGGGUGAGUAACGCGUAAUCAACCUGCCCUUCCGAGGGGGACAACAGUUGGACACGACUGCUAAUACCGCAUACUGCAUUAGGGGCUUGCGUCGGAUUAGCUAGUUGGAGGGGUAACGGCCCACCAAGGCGAUGAUCAGUAGCCGGUCUGAGAGGAUGAACGGCCAAAGUGGGACUGAGACACGGCCCAGACUCCUACGGGAGGCAGCAGUGGGGAAUCUUCCGCAAUGGACGAAAGUCUGACGGAGCAACGCCGCGGGAGUGAUGACGGCCUUCGGGUUGUAAAGCUCUGUUAAUCGGGACGCGGUACCGGAAUAGAAAGCCACGGCUAACUACGUGCCAGCAGCCGCGGUAAUAC